rnacentral:rRNA from 1 species
UACAGAGGUGGCAAGCGUUGUUCGGAAUUACUGGGCGUAAAGGGCACGUAGGCGGCCUUCUAAGUCAGACGUGAAAUCCCCCGGCUUAACCUGGGAACUGCGUCUGAUACUGGGAGGCUUGAGUAUGGGAGAGGGAUGUAGAAUUCCAGGUGUAGCGGUGAAAUGCGUAGAUAUCUGGAGGAACACCGGUGGCGAAGGCGGCAUUCUGGACCGACAUUGACGCUGAGGAGCGAAAGCCAGGGGAGCAAACGGG